rnacentral:rRNA from 1 species
CAGGACGAACGCUGGCGGCGUGCCUAACACAUGCAAGUCGAGCGAGGAGAUCCUUCGGGAUGAUCCUAGCGGCGGACGGGUGAGUAACACGUGGGCAACCUGCCUCAUAGAGAGGAACUAGCCUUCCGAAAGGGAGAUUAAUACCUCAUAACAUUGCAGUUUCGCAUGGAACAGCAAUUAAAGGAGUAAUCCGCUAAUGAGAUGGGCCCGCGGCGCAUUAGCUAGUUGGUGAGGUAACGGCUCACCAAGGCGACGAUGCGUAGCCGACCUGAGAGGGUGAUCGGCCACAUUGGGACUGAGACACGGCCCAGACUCCUACGGGAGGCAGCAGUGGGGAAUAUUGCACAAUGGGGGGAAACCCUGAUGCAAGCAACGCCGCGUGAGUGAUGACGGCCUUCGGGUUGUAAAGCUCUGUCUUCAGGGACGAUAAUGACGGUACCUGAGGAGGAAGCCACGGCUAACUACGUGCCAGCCGCUGC